CAAGAGUGAAUUGUUGUCCUUUACGCUUACCUCCUAUUUAACUGAGAACAUCUUAAUCGCAACCACCCCCCCUCAACAGUUGGGACAAAUCAUUUGGCAAAUAAGAAAGAGACCCUCAUUUCCUCCUAAAAUAGCAGCAGUUCUUUCGUGAGGAAUAACUUUGGAAAUGUUUUCUUUGUGGGCUUCUCUCACUGUUUUACUUUCUCUCUGCCUCUUUUUGAAUCUUGUAGAGCUGAUGCAAAUCUUUCACCAGGAAAAUUAGUGGUGAGAGAGAUUGGGAAAAGGAGACUGUAGGUCAGACCUUGGUGCAGAAAGACACAGAAAGCAGUUCUAGUGACAAAGGAGUCUCUAUUUUAGGGUGGGAUACACACAGAAACAAACAGACAGGAUACAUAGAUGAUAAAUAGAUGAUUUGGUACUGUCUGUGACAGUAGGGUCACAGACAGUACCAAAGCAUCACCUCAUCCUGGUGUUCUACUUUCUCAUCUCACACAACCUUCUCCCAUCAUAUCAUGUCAUCACCUCUUGUCUUUCCUGCUUUCUCCAAUUUUUUCAUUGUGUCUCCUACAUUUCUCUUCUUUAGUUGUCUGUUUUUACCACUAGUUUCUUUCCUUUCCCUGUCUCAUGUCUCAUUCCACAUCCUUUCCCAUCUUCUCUGCUCCUGUGCUCUUGCUAUGCUUCCCCCCCCCCUCUCUUUUCUAUUCUUUUCUUUUCCCUGCCUUUCCUCUCCUCUCUUUCUGCUGAUACUCCCAGGCUUCAGCUCUUUCAGAUCGACGUCACAGAUUAAGAGAUGAAAGCUUGCGGCCACAGAGCAGCAAAAGGCAAACUUCUUCAUGUGGUUCUGACCAAGACCCUGGGAACUGUUGUUCUUUCAGCAUUGGCUCCAUAAGUCACAUUGCUCUCCCCUUCAUAUCCUCUAUUUGUAGGCGGGUGCUUGUGUGUUUGAGUGGGAGAUUUGAUACUAAGCUUUGAUGCAGCAGAGGGCUGACACAGGUGGGCUGUGCUCCGUCUUCCCCUCACUGACCCAUUAACUCUCCUGGGAAGAAAAACAGAGUAAAAACGAAGCACAGAUGUGGAGGGUAAACAGACAAAGGAAUCAAAAAAUCUGAGAGAAGUGCAGCUGGAACACAAGAGGGUGAACGCGGUCUUUUUGGACAAGCUUGAAGGUCAAGCCAGAGGGAGCGAGAGAGAGCCAAAAUUCGAAAGUACUCAGGAGGCAGAAAGUCAAGCCCCGUUGUCACACCUGAAACCAGAUCCAGAACAGAGCUGCUCCGGCUGGACAGAAGAAGCUGACCCACGGGCUGAGUAUGACCAGGCCCUGAUGAAGCUCAUCAAGAGCUUUCCAAACUGUGACAGAGACUUCCUAGAGGACAUCUUUACCCAGUGUAACAGGGAUUACGAGGAGGCGUCCACACUACUUAUCAGCACACUGAGUUGAACUUCAUGUAUUAUAAUUUUUUCCCCCAUAAACACAACAAUUUACAACAGCUCCUACAGGCAUCUAGAGAGAAAAGAGUUAAUGAAGGAGCUGUUUGCCCUUAAUUUUCUGUUUAACACUGUAGGCCAUGGUCCAAAUAAGCAUGUUUACUCAGGGUGCAGAUGGUAGAGAAUUGGCAAAGACAAAGUUUAUCUACUUUGAUGGUAGAUCAGUAUACAAAGCAGAGCUGACUACAAUGCAUUAGACUCCUUUGAAAACAUACAUGAUAUGUGCUCUAUGGGAUCUGUUUUUGAUUAUGCUAUUAAUCACUGAGUGUUUGGUGUUGUGUAUCUGUCUGCAUUCAGUAGUGAGUCAUGUUGUGGUUUUGUCUUGACAUCGAGUAGAAUUGAUGCUCGUUUUCACCAGUUUGGUUAAAGGUCAUCGCAAUGACUCAAAAUCUUCAGCUCAUAUUUGGAGCUCUUGAUUAAAUCAGUGUGUGCAAAUGGAAGAAAGCACUAGCAACAUGCAUGAUGCUUUUUGUUCUGUUUUAUAAUUAAAGUUGUGUGUAAUGUAUCUAUAGAAAAAAUAAUAUUUAAGUAUGUCAUUUUUGACUUUAGAAAAUUGUUCUGCCACAUUGUGCCAGUCGGGACAGAAACGUUCUAACAGGCACAUACAAAAAUGACAUUUUUCCAAAGAAGUCCAGUUAUUCUUUCUUGAAGCCGAGGUUUUUUGUAGAAAGCCUUUUUGUUAUUAGUUUCAGUUCAAAGUCAAAGUUGUUUUUAGGGGGCUGCAGGGAAACACUGUUUGGUUGAAUGUUCAUCACUGUUUAUAUUCAUGUGUUGUAGCCAUUUAAUCCCGUUGCUUCUCAUCACUGUGUUACACAGUGGGCAGUGAGCUGCUGCUGGUGCAGUAAAAUUUAACCUCAUAACAUCAAUGGACUGGACAGCACAGGUGGUUAUCACCUGGUGGUGGCAACAAAAGAACAAAGGGCGUUGCUCUCAACACGAGGGGCUGAAAAUCCAAUUUUACUAAAGCAUGAAGUCAUGAGGAGUGCUACAGAGUCAUCCGGGAAAUGUCUUCCCUUUGGAGAACACCAAGAAAUCACAUAUUAUUGCAGCAGUUUUACACUUAGUCAUAAAGGUGAUGCAUUUAAAUUUCAGUGAAAAAUAUUUACUGUGUGGUAUACCCCUAAAUAAACUCAUCUA